AAGACUAUGCUUUCAGGGAUCAUUUCUAUAGUUUCUGACUUGGAAGUUUGAUUUGAAAGUGUAACGUCUCUCUAACCACGAUGACGAGUUAAGAUGCUUUCUUCUGAGCGUGAAUCGGGUGGUGAGCGACGAGCGAGAUUGUCUGCUCUCUGUCGUUGAUGAAUGUUCCUGCUGUGCUUUGCAGUCUGGAAGAAGAAAGCAUGUUCAGAGUGGUU
rnacentral:snoRNA from 1 species